rnacentral:rRNA from 1 species
GACGAACGCUGGCGGCGUGCUUAACACAUGCAAGUCGAACGGAAAGGCCCUGCUUUUGUGGGGUGCUCGAGUGGCGAACGGGUGAGUAACACGUGAGUAACCUGCCCUUGACUUUGGGAUAACUUCAGGAAACUGGGGCUAAUACCGGAUAGGAGCUCCUGCUGCAUGGUGGGGGUUGGAAAGUUUCGGCGGUUGGGGAUGGACUCGAGGCUUACCAGCUUGUUGGUGGGGUAGUGGCUUACCAAGGCUUUGACGGGUAGCCGGCCUGAGAGGGUGACCGGCCACAUUGGGACUGAGAUACGGCCCAGACUCCUACGGGAGGCAGCAGUGGGGAAUAUUGCACAAUGGGCGGAAGCCUGAUGCAGCAACGCCGCGUGCGGGAUGACGGCCUUCGGGUUGUAAACCGCUUUCGCCUGUGACGAAGCGUGAGUGACGGUAAUGGGUAAAGAAGCACCGGCUAACUACGUG